rnacentral:rRNA from 1 species
GCCUACGGGGGGCAGCAGUGAGGAAUAUUGGUCAAUGGGAGAGAUCCUGAACCAGCCAAGCCGCGUGAGGGAAGACGGCCCUAUGGGUUGUAAACCUCUUUUGUCGGAGAACAAAACCCGGGACGUGUCCCGGACUGCGUGUAUCCGAAGAAAAAGCAUCGGCUAACUCCGUGCCAGCAGCCGCGGUAAUACGGAGGAUGCGAGCGUUAUCCGGAUUUAUUGGGUUUAAAGGGUGCGUAGGCGGUCUGUUAAGUCAGCGGUAAAAUUGCGGGGCUCAACCCCGGCGAGCCGUUGAAACUGGCAGA